UCUGACCUCAAAUCAGGUAGGACU
rnacentral:ncRNA from 3 species